UACGGAGUGUGCAAGCGUUAUCCGGAUUUACUGGGUUUAAAGGGUGUGUAGGCGGACUUUUAAGUCAGUGGUGAAAUCCCGAGGCUCAACCUCGGAACUGCCUUUGAUACUAUUAGUCUUGAAUCUUGUUGAGGUGGGCGGAACGGGUCAUGUAGCGGUGAAAUGCAUAGAUAUGACCCGGAACACCGAUUGCAAAGGCAGCCCGCUAAGCAAGCAUUGACGCUGAGGCACGAAAGCGUGGGGAUCAAACAGG
rnacentral:rRNA from 1 species